rnacentral:lncRNA from 1 species
CUGCCAGCCCGGCGCCCGGCUGCUGCAGCCUCGGCACGAAGGUGCCCCCCGCUCUAGCGUCCCCAGCCCUGGGGGCCACCCGGUUUGUACUAUGCUGGAAAGAAUAUUUUGAGGAUGGGGAAAAGCAGCUAAGGAAACAGACUAAAUUAUUACAAGAGGGAAGAAUGAAUGGAAUCUGCAUUCAGAAAUACUCUGGAAGGCACUGGAAAGGAGUUCACGCCUGAUUAUACAUGUAUUAUUCAGGCUGUGAAGAAAGGUAUGCAGAAGGAACGGAGAAUGYCCUGAGAUAAACCAGGCUCCAGAAAACAAUGCGGGAGGC